UCCGGUUUGUUUCCGGCAGUCUCUCUAGAUAUUCAACUAGAAAUAAGGGUUGCGCUCGUUGAGGGACUUAACCCAACAUCUCACGACACGAGCUGACGACAGCCAUGCAACAUCUGUCUAUCCGUCCUUGCGGAGGGCCUUCUUUCAAAGGAUUGCGAAUAGAUGUCAAACCCAGGUAAGGUUCUUCGCGUUGCAUCGAAUUAAACCACACGCUCCGCUGCUUGUGCGGGGACCCGUCAAUUCCUUUGAGUUUUAGUCUUGCGACCGUACUCCCCAGGCGGGCCACUUAAUGCGUUAGCUUCGGCACGGAAGGGGUCAACACCCCCCACACCUAGUGGCCAUCGUUUACUGCUAGGACUA
rnacentral:misc_RNA from 1 species